CCCUUAGAUGUUCUGGGCUGCACGCGCGCUACACUGAUGCACUCAACGAGUUUACGACCUUGCCCGAUAGGGUUGGGUAAUCUUUUUAAAAUGCAUCGUGAUGGGGAUAGAUUAUUGCAAUUAUUAAUCUUCAACGAGGAAUUCCUAGUAAGCGCGAGUCAUCAGCUCGUGCUGAUUACGUCCCUGCCCUUUGUACACACCGCCCGUCGCUCCUACCGAUUGGAUGGUCCGGUGAAGCCUCGGGAUUGUGGUUCUUGCCGCUUUAUUGUGGCGUGACCGCGAGAACUUGUCUAAACCUUAUCAUCUAGAGGAAGGUGAAGUCGUAACA
rnacentral:rRNA from 1 species